GAUGAAGAACGCAGCGAAAUGCGAUACGUAAUGUGAAUUGCAGAAUUCAGUGAAUCAUCGAAUCUUUGAACGCAUAUUGCGCUCUCUGGUAUUCCGGAGAGCAUGCUUGUUUGAGUAUCAGUAAACACCUCAACUCCCUUUUCUUUUUUGAAAUUGGAGCUGGACUUGAGUGAUCCCAACGCUUUCUUCCAAGAAAGUGGCGGGUUGCUUGAAAUGCAGGUGCAGCUGAACUUUUCUCUGAGCUAUAAGCAUAUCUAUUUAGUCUGCCUAAAAAACAGAUUAUUACCUUUGCUGCAGCUAACAUAAAGGAGACUAGUUCUUGUGCUGACUGAUGCAGGAUUCACAGAGACAGCUUCGGCUGACUUUGUAAACUCGAUCUCAAAUCAAGGAAGACUACCCGCUGAACUUAAGCAUAUCAAUAAGCGGAGGA
rnacentral:misc_RNA from 1 species